rnacentral:rRNA from 1 species
UACAGAGGUCUCAAGCGUUGUUCGGAUUCAUUGGGCGUAAAGGGUGCGUAGGCGGCGCGGUAAGUCGGGUGUGAAAUCUCGGAGCUUAACUCCGAAACUGCAUUCGAUACUGCCGUGCUUGAGGACUGGAGAGGAGACUGGAAUUUACGGUGUAGCGGUGAAAUGCGUAGAUAUCGGAAGGAACACCGGUGGCGAAAGCGGCGCGCUGGACCUCUUCUGACGCUGAGGCGCGAAAGCCAGGGGAGCGAACGGG